AGUACCAGCCAAACAACCGUGAGUAAGAAUCACAGUAAUAAACAUUAUUUUAAUAUAACUUGUACAAAAUCCAACAAAACUCUGCAUUAUUAUUUUUGUGAAGGCGGAAUUUUUGAGGAUUCGCUUGUCAUAACGCAGGGUCUACGUAAUGCUGUUACCAGUGGUUCAACAUUAGUAAUGAAGUGUGUCUUCUGCUCAUAUUUAGUCAUGACUGUAUAACUCAUGUUGGAAGCAUGCCAACUCAUCACAUAACCUUAAGUGAAUCUUGCUGAAAUGUUUACUAGAGACCAGGACGUAGGAAUAUGCCCGUUAUUACCAGAUAGAUUUGGUUUAGUCAUUAUGAUUGCCGAUAUUUUGUGAUGCUCUUUGCUUUAUGAUGCGAUUCUCACGUGAUGCUCUUUGUUUUCCUUUCAUACUUUUGUAAUGCGGACCCUUCUGAUAGUAUAAGAAUGCUGCCAAGUCCUUUGUAUCUUUGCACUUCUGAUCUGCUACAGCCAUUGUCUGUCACACAUUUGUGCCCAGAAUAUUCUGUAAGUAAAAGCUUCGAAGAAACUGUUCAUCAUCUCCAGCCUGUAUUUGGAUAACCAACAUUCUCACUACCCGAAACUAAACGAACACGCGGGGAGGAAAAAAAAGCGUCCAACAAUUGGUGACCCCGACGUGAUUUCGGACUGAGGUGUUGGUUGACAGACAGAACAUCGGCCGGACAACAAUUGAGAAGGUGGAUAGGUCCCUUUCAAGUUACUGAGCGGACAGCCACAGCAGUAAGUCUUGAAGGAAAGGGGGACAGGUGGUUCCGCAUCUCGUCUACACGACCCACCAGGUCCGCCUAAGGCUCAGCAAUCCCUCCACCUGACAACCGGAAAACCGCGUCUCCAGUGUCAGCUGGCACCCUUUGAUGACAUCAUUCUACAAGGGUUGAUUUCACGGUACACGGGCACAAUAAUCCCGGUGAAUCAACCUGGGACCAGGUAGUCUAACCCCAAGGUCCUGAAGAAGCUGACUGCGCCCCAGCUCGACUCAUCCCAGAGGAAAAGAUCGCUGUGUCAGCGAUUGAUUACUGCCGCCAUUGAGAAUGGAUGAAUUGCUUCCCCUUCAGGCCCAAUGCACCAGCCCCUCCCCGUUUCAGGUGUCGGACUCUUUCGAGUCCGAAAGGGGGAUUGAAGUGUGUCUUCUGCUCAUAUUUAGUCAUGACUGUAUAACUCAUGUUUGAAGCAUGCCAACUCAUCACAUAGCCUUAAGUGAAUCUUGCUGAAAUGUUUACUAGAGACCAGGACGUAGGAAUAUGCCCGUUAUUACCAGAUAGAUUUGGUUUAGUCAUUAUGAUUGCCGAUAUUUUGUGAUGCUCUUUGCUUUAUGAUGCGAUUCUCAUGUGAUGCUCUUUGUUUUCCUUUCAUACUUUUGUGAUGCGGACCCUUCUGAUAGUAUAAGAAUGCUGCAAGUCCUUUGUAUCUUUGCACUUCUGAUCUGCUACAGCCAUUGUCUGUCACUCAUUUGUGCCCAGAAUAUUCUGUGAGUAAAAGCUUCGAAGAAACUGUU